GCUUUCCUGGGGCUCUCCCGGGGCCGGCUGGUCUGCAGCCCUCCGGUUUCGGGUGGCCUGGGGGUGGGGGGGGGGACCUGAUCUGCGAGGCCCGUCUUCUUUGUCCCCAACUCUGGGAACCGCGAUCUGGGGCCUGUAAUUGCAGCAGGGCUGCUGAUGUUCUCGGGAGUGUUUCGUUUUUCUGCUGUAGGGCCCUUAACGCUGAGAAUUGAUUCUUGCGGAGACAUACAGAGCCCCCGACAAUUAUUCUUUGUUCCUCUUCUUGAGAGCCUCCCCCACCCGAGGAGCAAUCUGCAGCCUCCCUUUCCGUGGGCGAAAGACCUACAACACCAGCAUUUCGGAGGGUGCUUGCCCGCGCGCAGUCCAGGGAUCCUGACCUGCUUUGGAAGAGGGCGACACGGGGAGCCUCCCGCUCUGCAGCUGUCCCCGGAUGCCCUUAAUUCGCUCUACACGGAGAGAUAAGCUCCUGCGACCUCGUUUGACCCCGCCGCAGGCACCAGGCGUCCUCAUUUAGUGUGCGAGCGAGGGUCGACUUUUGUCUGUGCUCCCUGGAAAUUUUGUUCUUCCUUCCCUCCUGUCCUCGGGCUGUGGCUGGGCUUACGUCCCCCACUGCAGUCUAAACAGCCACCCCACCCACCCCCUCCACCCCCCAGAGGGGCACAUGUUUGCCCCUCUCCUUUUUCACUUUAAACGAGGGGUUCUGAGGGCUCUCUGGGUCCGUAGAGCCUGGGAAAGAGGCAGGUCUGAGAACGGAAGGGCAAGACAGCAGUCCCUGGGGCUGAAGUCACCUGUAGACAGAGAAAGGAAGAGAAACACGCCUUCGUUUUUCACCGUCUGUGCCGUGGAGCCCAAAUUCCAUUCCCUGGCAGUCAAGCCCUUCCUGUUGGGCAAGCCAAGAUGCCCUCUGGGUAGUUUCCCACCAUGCAGCCAGCAUGCGUCAACCUAGCGUUGAGCCACUGGUGACAGGACGCUGAGGGGGACUCUGUUCACACGUCCCGGAGCUUCUGCCGAGACUCAGACACACGGCAGGAUGUGCCCAGUGAUGCCGCUCACGUCCUCCGGCGAGGCUUGGGCCACUCUAUGGGAUUGCUGGGGGAACAGGAGGCCGAGGACCCAGGAGAAGCCAGCAGUGAACAAGUGUUUAAGAAAGGUGUGCACCUGUUGUGUUUUCUACCUACGUUCAGAUGAAUGAGGAGGGCCUCGGAGAACUACCUGGGGGGCAUUACAGAUGUCUUCUGGAGUUUGGGGGGGGGUUGCGGGGCACAGGGACCGAUACGACGUCAGAGGAGAGAGCGCCGUUUGGUGAGAACAGGCAUUUGGAACAGCGUCUGCCUCCAAGAGCUGCCAAGGCAAACACGCGCUAAUGAGUCUUCCUGUUGAAAAGGACCUACUUCCCCAGGUGGGGGUGGGGGCAAGGCGAACAGCACCAAGCAGGACCUGUGGGGGCAGCUGGCAGAGGCCAUCGGUGGAAGGAAGCCUCCAACAAUGGGGGACAACCCACCGCAGAGCCCCGGGAAGAGAGAGAACCGGCAUUUGCACACCCGCCCCCGGCCCCUGCUCACAGUUGAGGUCUCCUUGAAGAGCUUUGUUCCUUGGGCCCCGGGAGACCUGAUCCACCAGCCAGCGAUUGGAGAAGGUAGAGGAUCCGAGAAGGAACAGGCAACGAUCGUGUUUCCCUCCUAACCACACGUUCCCAAACCCAAGCCAGCCUCCAUCCAGUUGGAGGAGAGAAGCACUAAUUUCAGUGCGAUGGUCGAGUUUUUGCUCUUGGUGGGACUGAGCUGUUUAACCCUUAAAAAAACGAGGCGAUUCGUGAAUGCCCAAGGUUGGCCAGGUAAGCUGGUUGAGAUUUCACUCGGUCGUGGGCAGUAAUAACGCGGACACCAACGAACAUUUACGUCGUAUUUAGUGUUUUCUAGGUAUUAAGUCAUUUCAUCCUUACGAGAGCCUUGAGGGAUAAAUGGUCUUAUUAUUCCCAUUUCACUGAUAAGGAGGCUGAGGCCCAGGGAGGAUAAGUAAAUAGCGCAAGGUCCACAGCUAGCCAAUGGCCAAAGUAGACUUCAGAGUCUAAGUGCUUUCCCAUCUCGGACCUUUCCCGACUCCGGGGCCCAACUCUGUUCCCGUCUAGAACCCUCCGUGCCAGCUGAAGGAGCCUUUCCUGCUCUGGCCUGUUUUCAGGGGUGCGGCCAUGGCUGCGGAGUGGCCAUCGCCCUGAACAGUGGGCGCGUCUUCUGAGGGAUUGCCGUCAGAACCCAUGGCGUGCCUGUUAAAUACCAGGAGCUGGCAAGUGCUCCUUCUGAAGGUGGGUAUGAUGGUUGUAACCAUCCCGAAGUCAUCUGGAGUCCGGUGUAAAAGCCAGUGAUCAAGCUGAGAGAGACUAUUUUUUUUGUAAAAGGAAACAGGAUAUACUCGCUGAAUGAGGCUGGUUUUCUUCUGUGGUUUAAAAGCUGGAUCGAAAUGCAGUUCCCCGAAGGAAAAUUCUCCCAGAAGGUUUAUUUAUUUAUUUUUUUGAAGAGGGUGCCGAGAGAAGGGGACAGAGGAUCUGAAGCAGCCUCCGUGCCGACAGCAGAGAGCCCCGCUUGGGGUGGAACCCGUGAACUGCGCGACCGUGACCUGAGCCGAAGGUCGCCGCUCAACGGACUGAGCCACCCAGCAUGGAGAAGCCUUUUGCCGAAAUCCAUUUGGCCACCUCUUCAAAGAACAACAGCACUCACUAUAAGCCAUGCGCCUGGAAAUCGUAACAGCUCCUCAUUCGUGGUGGGCAGAACAAGGACACCCGCCCCCCCCAUCUUAAAGCUGUCCAUACGAAUCCCCGGAACCAGUGAAUAUGGCAAAGGGACUUUGCAGAUAUAAUUAAGUUAAGGAUCUUGAGAUGGGGGAGAUCAUCCUGGAUUGUCCAGAUGUACCCAAGAUGCAAAAGUUCUUAAGGGUGAGGGUCCAAGCAGGACAGCAAUUGGCUUUGAGGAUGAAGGAAGGGGCCAGGAGCCAAGGAAAAUGGGCACAUCCUCUGACAGCCGGAAAGGGGAAAGGAAAACAGAUUCUCCCCUAGAAGUUCCAGAAGGAGUGCCGCCCUGCUGACGUCUUGAUUUUAACUCAGUGAGAACCAUUUCAGACCCCGGACCUCCAGAACUCUCAGAUAAUACGUUUUUCUUGUGUUAAGCCGAAAAGAAGAAUUCUGCAAUGACUAUGGAGAUCCACUCUGCUGUUUUUUACAUGAUGCAGUGACAAAGAAACUGAGGAACCAUCCAUCCAAUAAGCUGCCGUCUUAUUAGAGAUGAUACGAUUGUAUCAGUUUCGCACUCCUUUCAUUCCGGGCUGUGGGAUACAAACCCUGCCUCCGAGAGACUCCUUGGCAAGCGGAGACGUGCACACGGGAUGCGAGCAACACAUCUUUGUUUUGGGGCAACCGUGUGCCAUGCUGAUGACGAGCCCCGGCAAGGCACGGAGCCGGGUGCGAUCAUCGAGGAUGGCUGGAACCGCUGAAGGUCUUCUGGAACGCUGCUGUCUCCCUCUGACCGCAUCUCAACGGCCAGUAGGAAGCCAGAAAAAUAACCUUGCCAAUAGAUAGGCUGUCCCCAGGCACACCGCCUCCCAGAAGGUAAGAGGCAGUUCUCGACUUUUCUCGUCCGUCCGCCUUUCGCUGAUUGAGGACAGCCUCUGCUGAGGUCCAUCGUCUCUGCUGUCCCCGUGCGUCUGUUUUACGCCCCCACCCUCUCCUCAGGGCCUGUGCCACCCUGCCAGUGCCUAGAACGGUCCAGGGGUGCGGACGGGCGCCCUCGGCUCUGUGUUGGCUCCUCUCGGCCCCACUCCCCUGCACUCGGCCUGGGCUCCGCACUCUUCAACGUGAGCGUCCACAGGGCACCAAAGCUCUGUCUUUCCAGUUGCACUGCCUCCCCAGCCUAGCCCUCACCCGCUCACUGGGUGAAGAGGGGAGAGUAGGGUGGCGAGGACAGACAACAAAGCCACUCCCCUGCCCCCAGACAGGCGUCAGGGUCUGAUGGGCUCCGCGAAAAGACCCAGCUGCGAGUUUGUGAGCGGGGUUUAGGAGCAUUCGAGAAAGCACGCCUGGGUAUUCUGGCACAGGAGCCCUCAGAGUUACUGCCGGGCCUCAGAAAUAAUUAAUAUACUUGCCCGUCAGAAUCACAUGCCCGGGUACGCACGUACGUCCCAGGGUGCGCAGCCCGACUAUUUGUCACAUUUUUUCCAGGAGGCUGCCCGGAGCCCCACGCCUGCUGUGCGUUUUGCAGCUGAUGGCACAGGUGCCUGACCACGUUAGUGUUGCUCCUGCGCCUGGCUGUCACCUUGCAGUCCCCCCAAAGAAAUACGUGUCUGUUUUUCCCAAUAUUUAGAGCUGCAUCGUGCUCCCGGCUAGGCGGAUAUGAAAUAGAAAUGCUUUCAGCCCUGGUGAUGGAGGAUGUAGAGACUAAGCCACAAGCGCAAGAGUCUUUCCCGAAGUCUCUCCAGAGCGGCUGGUUCUCGCGGCGUUCCUCUCCGGUCCGUCGUGACAUUUCUUCGGUUCCUCGGCACCGAUGUGGAGAAGGGUGCCUCAGUGCCACUGGGGCAUCCAGAAUUUCUAUCCCUGUUGUAAGUGGGAAGGAGGAUAUUCACCUAUUCACACAUACUAUAAAUAUGCUGGGUCCUUACUGAAAUAUUUUUUAAUUUAGAGUGGAAUUCCGUGUAAGAACUUUCCUUCUUGGACUCCAGCCAGUGAGUUUUAGGGGAUUACCCAAAGGAUUGCAUUCUAAGACCGGACCACGCACCGAUCGGGCAGGGGCUCCAGUAACGUAAUGGGGCUACGGUGUUACCAGGAAACGAGAAGAAGGUUUGGGGACGCUGUCCCGGUCGAUACCCCAGUGGGAGGGACGGCCUGCGAGGUAGAAUUGGGUUCGUUAGGUAAAAGGGCUACUGCUUCUAGUCUUAUUUUAGUGGUGAAUUUUCUGCUCCCCUGCUUUUUGAUCGUUGACGUGGCUUCCACAGAGAGGCGACGUGAACUUCUGCCUAAGAGCCUGGGUCCUGGGGUCGGAGGAGUGGGGUUGGGAGCCCACCCCCACUCUCUCCUGGCUGUGAGACCCCUGCCCAAGUGACUUAACAUCUCUGAGUCUUGGUUUUAUGAUCCAGAGAAUGAUAAUAUUAACAGCGAUGACCACCACCAUCGUAUCUGUC